rnacentral:misc_RNA from 1 species
AGAACAUUGAGAUCAGUUUAGACUUUAGACUUAUGUUAUCUAGAUCGGCGUGCGGGGUGUUAAUCCUUUUCCACCGGAACACUCUCAAUUUCAAUUUAUUAUUGUUUGUGCCACUUUGAUGUCUAAAUUGAUGCUUCAGACGCAAUAAAUUUCAAUUGCACUUGCAAAGGAUACGCAGUUCAGUCAAAAGUUGAAGACCGCCG